UCAAACGUCCAUACCACGUUUAAUACGCCGGCUCUCGUCGGAUCACCGAAGUUAAGCAACGUCGGGCGCGGUCAGUACUUGGAUGGGAGACCGCCUGGCAACAACACGUGACGUUGGCU
rnacentral:rRNA from 1 species